rnacentral:tRNA from 2 species
AAAACCUUAAGUUAAAUAAAACUAUUAGCCUUCAAAGCUAAAAUUAUAUAUUAUAUAGGCUUUA